rnacentral:rRNA from 1 species
CGGUGUUUAACUGGCGUGAUGUGGGACGUCCUACCGGUGGGCUUAGCCUCGCGAGGGGCGGCCCAACUAAUAUCCCGUCGCGGUGCUCUUUACUGAGUGUCGAGUCGGGCCGGUACGUUUACUUUGAACAAAUUAGAGUGCUUAAAGCAGGCUAUCCUCGCCUGAAUACUGCGUGCAUGGAAUAAUGGAAUAGGACCUCGGUUCUAUUUUGUUGGUUUUCGGAACCCCGAGGUAAUGAUUAAUAGGGACAGAUGGGGGCAUUCGUAUUGCGACGUUAGAGGUGAAAUUCUUGGACCGUCGCAAGACGGACAGAAGCGAAAGCAUUUGCCAAAAAUGUUUUCAUUAAUCAAGAACGAAAGUUAGAGGUUCGAAGGCGAUCAGAUACCGCCCUAGUUCUAACCAUAAACGAUGCCAGCUAGCGAUCCGCCGAAGUUCCUCCGAUGACUCGGCGGGCAGCUUCCGGGAAACCAAAGCUUUUGGGUUCCGGGGGAAGUAUGGUUGCAAAGCUGAAACUUAAAGGAAUUGACGGAAGGGCACCACCAGGAGUGGAGCCUGCGGCUUAAUUUGACUCAACACGGGAAACCUCACCAGGCCCAGACACCGGAAGGAUUGACAGAUUGAUAGCUCUUUCUUGAUUCGGUGGGUGGUGGUGCAUGGCCGUUCUUAGUUGGUGGAGCGAUUUGUCUGGUUAAUUCCGAUAACGAACGAGACUCUAGCCUGCUAAAUAGGCGUACCUUAUGGUAUCGCGAAGGCCCCCGGCUUCGGCCGGUGGGUUUUUACUACCAACGUACAAACAAAUCUUCUUAGAGGGACAGGCGG